rnacentral:rRNA from 1 species
GUACACUCCUGCGGGAGGCAGCAGUGGGGAAUUUUGGACAAUGGGCGAAAGCCUGAUCCAGCCAUGCCGCGUGCAGGAUGAAGGCCUUCGGGUUGUAAACUGCUUUUGUACGGAACGAAACGGCCUUUUCUAAUACAGAGGGCUAAUGACGGUACCGUAAGAAUAAGCACCGGCUAACUACGUGCCAGCAGCCGCGGUAAUACGUAGGGUGCAAGCGUUAAUCGGAAUUACUGGGCGUAAAGCGUGCGCAGGCGGUUAUGUAAGACAGUUGUGAAAUCCCCGGGCUCAACCUGGGAACUGCAUCUGUGACUGCAUAGCUAGAGUACGGUAGAGGGGGAUGGAAUUCCGCGUGUAGCAGUGAAAUGCGUAGAUAUGCGGAGGAACACCGAUGGCGAAGGCAAUCCCCUGGACCUGUACUGACGCUCAUGCACGAAAGCGUGGGGAGCAAACAGGAUUAGAAACCCCAGUAGUCCCAUGA